UAUUUUUUUUUUUUUUUAUUAUUUGGUAUUGCAUAUCAGGAGAUGUUUUUAUCAUAAUAAUGAGUAAUAGAAUUAAAAUGUAAAAAAUUUAAUAUUUUUUUUUUUUUACAAAAUUAAUUAUAUUUUAUUUUUGUUUUUGAUAUAACGUAUUUUUAUUUCUGUUUAUUUUUUUUUAUAGUUUAAGUUAUCUUUUUUCUUUUUUUUAGUUUUUAGGUUUUUUUAAAUUUUUGAUGUUGUGUUUUUCAUUUAUUUUUUUUAUUUUUUUUUUUCUUGUUUGAUUAAUUUUUUAAUCAUUUUAUAAUUUCUUCUUUAGUAUAUUAUUUUUAUUUUGUAGUUUUAGUUUUUUAAUUUUUAUUUUUGAACUUGUUUUGUUGUUAAAUGUUUAUUAAAAACUUAGGUUUUUAUAUAAAGUUGUCUUCUGCUCUAUGAUUUUUUAAAUGGCAGCCUUAGCGUGAUGGCAUAAAAGUAGCGUAAGUGAUUUGUUUUUUUAUUGUUUUCAAGUAUGAAUGAAGUUUUUAACAACUUUUUUGUUUUUAUUUUAUUUGAACUAUUUUUUUGAUUAAAAAUUAUUAAUUAAAAUAUAACAAAGAUAAGUCUUCGGAAAUUUUUUUUUAGUAGAUUUUUUUUUUCUAUUAAUAUUUUCUUGGGGAUGGAUUUUAAAAAAUUUUUUUUACUAUUUUUAUUUUUUUAAAUUACUCCGGAGUUAACAGGGUUGUAGACACGUAAAUAGUUUUUUAUAUUAGUGUGCUGCGCUACAUCGAUGUUGUAUAUUUUUUAUUAAGGAGGAGAGAUUGUUUUUUUUUUGAGACUGUUCUUCUUGUAUAAAAAUUGAACUUGAUAUUAGUUUAGUUCGUCGUGAGACAGAGCGGUUUAUCUUGUGUAUUUUUUUUUUUUGAUGGUAUUAGUACGAAAGGAAGGUAAUAUGGGUUAAUAUUUGUGACUUUUUUAUUCUGAUGGAUUUUU
rnacentral:rRNA from 1 species